CAGUCACACGGUGGAGGAACAGUCACACGGUGGAGGAACAGUCACACGGUGGAGGAACAGUCACACGGUGGAGGAACAGUCACACAGUGGAGGAACAGUCACACAGUGGAGGAACAGUCACACGGUGGAGGAACAGUCACACAGUGGAGGAACAGUCACACAGUGGCGGAACAGUCACACGGUGGCGGAACAGUCACACGGUGGAGGAACAGUCACACAGUGGAGGAACAGUCACACAGUGGAGGAACAGUCACACAGUGGAGGAACAGUCACACAGUGGAGGAACAGUCACACAGUGGCAGAAAAUAAAUGAAACUACACAUUCAUUUGAUUCAUUUGAACAUCUGUCUGAGGGAAUUCCACAAAGCAAAUAUUGCAUGUAACAAACCAGUUCCAUGACAUACAGCACGGUCCAGCAAGUUCAUGUUUUCUACAGUUUACUGAACAACUACUGAUUUAAAACCAUGAAGUUACCUCAAGUCAACACAAAGACAACAGCAGCACUGCCUCCGCUAUUCCAGCACCAUUUCAACUUAAACAUUGAAACAUCAUCAAAUCAACUAGGUUAUAAUACAGUGAAACAAACUUAAAGAUACCAAAACAAUUUAGUCCAGGGAAAUGUUGCUAAAUUUAUUUAACUAGGCAAGUCAGUUAAGAACAAAUUCUUAUUUUCAAUGACAGCCUAGGAACAGUGGGUUAACUGCCUGUUCAAGGGCAGAACAACAGAUUUGUACCUUGUCAGCUCUGGGAUUUGAACUUGCAACCUUCCGGUUACUAGUCCAAC
ensembl:lncRNA